rnacentral:rRNA from 1 species
GUGGGGAAUAUUGGACAAUGGGCGAAAGCCUGAUCCAGCCAUGCCGCGUGUGUGAAGAAGGUCUUCGGAUUGUAAAGCACUUUAAGUUGGGAGGAAGGGUAGUAACCUAAUACGUUGCUACUUUGACGUUACCGACAGAAUAAGCACCGGCUAACUUCGUGCCAGCAGCCGCGGUAAUACGAAGGGUGCAAGCGUUAAUCGGAAUUACUGGGCGUAAAGCGCGCGUAGGUGGUUCAGUAAGUUGGAAGUGAAAUCCCAGGGCUCAACAGGGGAAAUGCUUUCAAAAAUGCUGAGCUAGAGUAAGGUAGAGGGUGGUGGAAUUUCCUGUGUAGCGGUGAAAUGCGUAGAUAUAGGAAGGAACACCAGUGGCGAAGGCGACCACCUGGACUGAUACUGACACUGAGGUGCGAAAGCGUGGGGAGCAAACAGGAUUAGAAACCCGUGUAGUCC